rnacentral:lncRNA from 1 species
CAACAAAAAACCACUGGUCGUGACGCUCAGAGAUCACUCGCAAUAGUCAGGAGUUAACAGAAAGUGUGUGCACCCAAAUUGUCUACCAUCCUUCUAUAAAAACUGGCUGCUUUUAAAGGUUUGUCUAUUAAAAUGCUAUCAUGUUUUGCUUUGUUUGGUUUCCUUUUAAAGACAGUUGUUUAGGUGAUGUGUGAGGGAUUAAAAAGCCACCCCUGAGAUAAAGCUGACCUGCUUGCAGGAAAGCCACGAUGGAAGGCGGAAGUAUAGAUGAUGGAGGAUUUACGGAGAAUGCGCAGACACAGAUGUGACGUGGAGGGGAGGGCGACUCAGGCCCUUCCUCGCAAAGACUCAUCUAACUGUCGGGGCAACUGUGGGUGCUGCCAUGUCGGAUGAGACGACUGGGGAGUGAGAGGCAGGAAAGCAGCCGAAAGGCCGGGGGGCAGUGUUCUCCAAGGCCUCUCAGAAAAGACAGGAGAGCUUCUCUACACCCCGCUCUCCAGUGGGGAAGCCUGCUUACUUAUAACGGACCCAACAGUAAAUGCAGUCCCCACCACUCUUGGCCAUUGUCAGAAGGGAUAGGUCUGAGGGUCCGGGCAAGAGCAGACCGACGGCCUGGAGAGAGCUUUUGGGCUUGAACUGGAACAUUGGCUCUCCUUGGGUCUGGAGCCUGACAGUUUUCAGAGUGGGACUUACACCGUUGGAUGUCCUGGUCCUCAGCCUUCACACUUCAGCUGGAACUUCACCACUGGCUCUCCUGGGUCUCCAACUCGCUGACUCUAAAUCUUGGGAGUUCUCAGCCUCCAUAAUCAUAAGAUCCAGUUCCUUUUUCAAAUACUUUAUAAAUGUGUCGCACAUUGCAAAGAUGGUGGGAAGCUUCCAGAGGUGCCGAGUCUUGGGGUUAAUGUGAUGAAAACAACAUAAAACAUGGAUUCCCUCUCCUUCAACUAUGGACCAGUAAGGCAAUUCCUCGGUAAUAACUCAACACACACUUUACCAAAAGUGAUUUUCCAUCUGAGACCUUGCAGAAAGGUGCUCAUUUAUGUUCUUGGCUACCCUUUACCUCAAUGAGAAUGAAAAAAUAUGAACUGUGACCAUAUAUGUAAGCUCCUGGCAAAUCCUGGUGGUAACAUGCCUUCUGACUGUCAAGCUGGGGAUUUCCUUUCUGAUCGUUCCAUGUGGAGGAACAUUUUAUACACUUACAAAGUUCUUCCUGCGCACAUGGUUGGACUCUGCAGCUGAGCCACCACAUCAUCUGGUCCAUAGGGCUCCAUCUGCAGAGAAUGUCAUCCAAUUGGGCAAGAAGUCUUCUGUCCUAGGACUUCUCUGAUUGGAGCUUGAGGUCACCUGGCUGAAGCUGGUACCAUGAUGGACCUGCCUGGUGGCAGCUGGAGCCAGGAAGGGGAUGUAACUGCUAUGGGACAUGCCACUCGAGACAGAGAGGUGAAGGAGAAAUUUCCUGGACUUUCCUUUCAUCUGGGGAGCUCCAGGCUCCUUUUAAUAUCUUUAAUAUGCUCACGCCAGCCAGAAACGCAGUCUGUAGGAAUCCCUCCCAGCCGUACGGGGCAGACCAAGGUAACUGCAAGCAAUGGAUCUGAGGACAAAUUGGCCCAGGACUGGCACACCUUCCCUUUGGAUAAAAUGAUAAAUCUGAUGGUUUUCUUUGUCUCCUUUCUCAUCAUCUCCAAGAGUUUUUUUUGGAUGAUCUCCAGAAUUAGAUUUGUUAUUUUGUAAGUCUUUUUUCUUUAUAGAAUUUUUUUGGAAACUUUUGUUUUAUAACUCUUCUAAGAGGAAUUUUAAACCCAACGUAAAGUUUCAUUAAUUGUAUUACUCACCACCAAUGUUCAUACCACUUCCUUGCUAUUCUCAAGCACUUUUAUUACAGUUCUGAUCUUUUUCUUUUCUCUCUUACAAAUGAUCCCUUAAGUAGGUGUCACAUUCUUAAGACAGUGCUUUAUUCUUUCCUAGCAUUUUGUUUUUUUUGUAAGGAAGAGAAAUCCAAUGACAAACAGAUUCUUUUCUUUUAAGGGCCACUUUUUCCGCUUGGAAGUGUGUAGAUUUUUAUCUUUAUAUUUGGUAUUGAAAUUCAAAACAAGCAAAAGGAAAACUUUAACCCGUCACUUGAAGAACUUUUUUGAUAUGAGGCUUCAAUUCUGUCUUCAGUUUAGGGAUUUUUUUUCUGUUUUGAUUACUGCUUCUCCUUGAUCUGCACUCCUUUUGUACCUAUAUUAGAUAUCCUGUUCAUUCGCAUAUUCCCAAUCACAGAGGAAUUAACAAUUACCUUCAUCUGGACUUGCAUGAAACAUUUUUAACAGAAAGUUCCCAAAAUUUCUGGUGUGUAUAUGGCUUCAUUUGCUUGUUUCCAGGAUUUAUACAGACUUUUUCUAAAUAUUUCUGUGUUUGUCAUUUCCGUGGGAACCUGGAAGAGGAGAGAAUUAACCAUUAGCACUCAAAUCACCGUU